rnacentral:rRNA from 1 species
CGUAUAUUAAAGUUGUUGCAGUUAAAAAGCUCGUAGUUGGAUUUGUGGCAGUGCUCGAGUGCCUUUUUUGGACGCUCUGAGCACAGCCAUCCUUGGGAGGAAUUCGUGUGGCAUUAGGUUGUUGCAUGGGGGAUACUCAACAUUUACUGUGAAAAAAUCAGCGCGUUCAAAGCAAGCUUGUGCUCUUGAAUGUAUUAGCAUGGAAUAAUAAGAUAGGACUUUAGUACUAUUUUGUUGGUUUGCGUAUUAAGGUAAUGAUUAAUAGGGAUAGUUGGGGG